ensembl:lncRNA
AAAUAAAUGAGCAAAUAUAAUAUUUUUGUCUCAUGUGUUUAACUGGGUUCUCUUUAUCUACUUUUAGUACUUGUGUGAAAAUCUGAUGAUGUUUUAGAUCACAUUUAUGCAGAAAUGUAGAAACUUCUAAAGGGUUCACAAACUUUCAAGCACCACUGUAGAUAUAAAAUGAACAGAACUGUAUAACAACUCUGUUUAUGACUCAUGACUCGGUUCCAUGUGGUUCCUGGAUUAGAGCCCACACUUUUACACUGGAGAACCCGGACAAAAGUUCUCAUUCCUUGGGACUCUAAACAGACUGCUGAACUCAGACACACUAAAGUCUGCUGUCUCCCUCAUGUGGCUGUAGCUGGAAAUUACAUCCUAAAACCGCACAGUUUAUACCUCAGUAAUUCCAACCUGAAUGGAAGUCCUUGUCUGGUGUCAUUAUUAAAUCAUUCGAGUGAUUAAACCUGUUCAACAUUCGCCGUUUAGAACUUUUCCUCUCCUGUGUUUGCUUUGUAAAGACGGGGACGUGAGCUGCUGUGAUGGAAGGUCUGAGUGUGAAGGGUGUUCCUCUUCACCCUCAUCACUGUGCUCUCUCUCAAUGUGAAAGCGGAGGUGAGGAAGUUGGACAUGGCUCCUGAUGCAGUAGACGACGAUUUCUCGCAGUGUCGAGAGAAAAUGCUGAAGGCUGUUACUGAACCAGGCG